rnacentral:rRNA from 1 species
UACAGAGGGUGCAAGCGUUAUCCGGAAUUACUGGGUUUAAAGGGCGCGUAGGCGGCUUGGUAAGUCAGGGGUGAAAGCCUAUGGCUUAACCAUGGAAUUGCCUCUGAAACUGCAAAGCUUGAAUGGGGUUGAGGUCAGCGGAAUGUCGCAUGUAGCGGUGAAAUGCAUAGAUAUGGGAUAGAACACCGAUGGCGAAGGCAGCUGGCUGGGCCUAUUUUGACGCUGAGGUGCGAAAGCGUGGGGAGCGAACAGG